AGAGAACGCAAGGCAAGCAUCGCGCCAGAUGCUGUGAGUUUAUCCUGAGAGCCCAGCCGCACGCUGACAGGGCUCCAGGCCCUCUCCUACAGGAAGACUUCCUGGAUUAAUCUGCUAAUCUUCAGCUCAUCCACCUGUUUAAUAGGCAAAACCUACAGAACUAGUCCACACUGAGUGGACCUCUGGGGCUCCCAGCUGCCGAUUGACCUGAACCCCAGAGUGAACUCGUGUUGCUUUGUGGCUUCAGGAAACCUUGGAACAUCUCUGUGCUGUUUUUUCAUUUGUGCUCAAUCAUUCCUGAGGCCUCCUCCUCCUGCUGCAAUUUGACAAGACUUGACCAAAUCAUUAACUCCCAGUUAAUGGGAUAAAAUGAGUUUGAAUCUGGGAUUCUGGUCAUUAACCCCAUGUCACCAUCUGCUCCAGCAGUUUGAUGGCAGGGCUAGGUGAAUUCUAAUCACCCAACACUUGUUAAACUGCUGAUUCCUGCUUCCCCACCUCUGCUGACUCAGCAUCUCUGGGGUGGGGCCUGCAAAGGCUCUCUUCCUUGACGGGGUUAUUGAGGGCAGCUCUAGGAACCCACCCAGGACCAGACCUGAUGAGGAGUUCCUCCUAUGCAUCAGUCUACUUCUGUCCCUCUUUCCCCUGCGAAGGAAAAAUAGAAGAAAGAAGCCAUCUCUGUUUGCUUUCUCCCUGUCACUCAAUCUCUGGAGCCAACUGCUUCACAAAUAAAGAGAAGUGCACAGAGAGUCCCUGAAGCCCACCAUCAACAGACAGGCUUUCAACAAAACUGUAUCAGCACCGCCUUGGCCAUAGCUACACUCUACAGAAAAUGGGAGAGAGGAACAGCGCUAGAGAAGUUUGUCCUUGCCUGGUUCCCGGGUGGAACUUCCUCUCCCCCUUGUGUUCUAUGCGUGUGGUUACAGCUGCCUCUGAUCUUUGGUGACCAGCGGUUGGCAGUGGUGGUAUUUCAGCAUACCUUGAUCAUCGUGCUUAUUACACAGCCUCCUUUACCAUCAACCCUACCUACCUUCUUCUAGCCAUGCCCCCCACCUCCUCCCGUCUCUAUCCAUCUCUUCGCUCUUUUAAAAAAUACUUAAGUGUGUACAGAUCACAGUGACUUCAUUUGUGUGCCCAUUCACAUUUGAUGACUUCCAUAACCCCCAUACAAGUAGUUGUGUAUUCGUUUUAAUUCACUUUAUUUAUUUCCUAGCUCUUUCAUAAAAUAAAAUGAAAUAUAAGUAAUGAAAUGGGAAUAAAAAAGAGAAAAAUAGAAUUGAGGGGGAAAAGGAGAAAUGCAUCUAUGUUUGUGAUCACGUUCAUCUUUCUCCAUGCAUCAAUAUGCAUACUAUUAUGAAUUCAUUGCACGUAUUUUAACAUGUAGGCACUACAUGGGGAUGUGGUGUCUACAUACCACCUCUAUAGUGGUAGGCACUGCAAAGGGACAUACAAAAGGUAAAAAGCAUAGUCUCUACUCUCAUAGGACUUUUCAUCUCAUGGAUGUGGCACUCAUAAUGUCUUUUAUCUGUGUCCCACUUGAUGUGAAACUCUUUAGUAGGCAUGAUCCUAUUUGAUUUCCAUAAGCAGAAGAGGGGUCACUGUUUCCAUGUUAUGAGAGAGGAAACUGAGGUUCAGAGAGUGAAAGGACCCUGAUGAGAUAAUGGAACUGGGGCUCAAAUCCUGGUUUCCCGACUCAACAUUUCACAUUCUUUCUACUCUGUCAUUAUUCAUUAGUCAAGUUUCUCCACAGACAACUCACUGAGCCACAACAUAUGAAGCAGCAUGGUAAUGCCACUAGACUGGUCAUGAUCAGAAGAUGUGGCCCCAGGGAAGAGAAAGCAAGAGAGCUGGAGAUAGCAGAGAAAGCACCAAGGAAGGGCUUGGCCGUGCAGCUCUAGCAGGGAGGUCCUUCCUUUCAGCCCCCAAGUGUCCCUCUGUGUCUCAUCUAAAAAGCAAAAAAAGAGGAGAACUAGAGCUUAUGGUUGAAGGCGUGAGAAUGAGGUGUCUUUUCCCUCUAUCUCUGUAAUAUACAAGUAUAAAUACUAUAUAUACAUAUGUAUAUGUGUUCCUUUUUUCUGUGUCUGAUUAUGCAUGCAAUUUAGCAAGGAUUUAUUGCCUAAUUUUGGUCUGGGCACUUUGCUAACGCAAUGGGGGAGGAUACCAAGAAAUUAGGGACUCAGCCUCAUUGUCCCCAGAGACUCCUGGGGGUGGGCAAGGCACGGUGUCUGUGCAUACUGCUGGGGGAGCUCUGGAUUAGGGGACAUCAGGAGACAUGACAUUGAAAUGUCCUACUCAGUUCUCUGUACAGAUUGGAUUUCCGUGGAAGAAAGAAAAUCAACAUGUAUUGGGAGUCAACAUCUCAUUCAGUCCUGUGAGUUUAUUCUGCCUAUUUUUCAGACAAGGAGACUAAGGCUUCAAGACGGUAAGUAAAUUGCCCACAGUGUCACUGCUGGUGUGGGAAUGAGCUUCAGGGUCAUUGAGUCAUGCUGCUGCCCAGGUACCCUGUAAGGCCGUCAAGUGUUGUGGGUAAGGGUUUUGGUGCUGACGUUCAGGUGAUUGUGAGUUUAAAGCCUGG
rnacentral:lncRNA from 10 species